rnacentral:rRNA from 1 species
GACGAACGCUGGCGGCGUGCUUAACACAUGCAAGUCGAACGGAAAGGCCUGCUUUCCCUUGUGGUUUGCGGGUACUCGAGUGGCGAACGGGUGAGUAACACGUGAGUGAUCUGCCCCCAACUUGGGUAUAAGCCUGGGAAACUGGGUCUAAUUCCCGAUAGGACUGCAGGGUGGUGCCGGUGGUGGAAAACGAUUUUCUAGUGGUUGGGGAUGAGCUGGCGGCCUAUCAGCUUGUUGGUGGGGUAAUGGCCUACAAAGGCGGCGACGGGUAGCCGGCCUGGGAGGGUGGACAGUGGAACUGAGACAGGGUCACGGCCCCGACGCGAAGGAGCAGUAGCAGAGGGGACGAAAGGGGCGUGAGCGGGAGCGUGCAGCAGCGCGGGAGUGUUGGAGAUGAUCGGCUUGGAAUUGUAUGCUCCUUGCGACGGAGAGGAGGCCACGUGGUUGGACGGGUCGUGACGGUAGUGAUAGAAGAAGCACCGGCUAACUACGUG